rnacentral:lncRNA from 1 species
GCCAGCUAAUGAUAUUGCAUGUAGCUUCAAACAUUUAACCGAGUCCAGUGAAUGUAAUAUAUUAGUUAUGAACAUAAAAAAAUAUGAAAGGUCGUGAAGUAUAUUUUGCAAACUAAUUACUGCAAGAGCACAUAGAAGUAUUGAAUGAUUAGCAGUUCAACAUAUGAUCAAUCACUUGAUGAUGAUUUGAAGAAGAAAAGCCUUUCUACAGAUAAGAGACCCGGGAUCCAAUCUACUGCCCUCAUCUCUACUUGAAAGUGCAUUCAUUGCUUCAGAAUUCUCUUAUCUUGAUUUUGAACUUCCCUAUACCUAUAAUUAAAUGAUACAAACCAUCCCAACAAAGUCAGUCAAGAAAAUAAAAAGAAAAAUAAAAACUCCAAAAUAAUUGUAAAAUAUACAAUGAAUUGAAAUGGUCACAGAAAGGAAAGCGUACUCUUGGGGUGUGAUACAUUCUCAUAGUCCAAGAAGGGAAUAUUUCCAAUUCUACA